rnacentral:rRNA from 1 species
CCUACGGGAGGCAGCAGUGAGGAAUAUUGGACAAUGGGCGCAAGCCUGAUCCAGCCAUGCCGCGUGCAGGAUGACGGUCCUAUGGAUUGUAAACUGCUUUUGCACAGGGAGAAACAACUCUACGUGUAGAGUCUUGACGGUACUGUGAGAAUAAGGAUCGGCUAACUCCGUGCCAGCAGCCGCGGUAAUACGGAGGAUCCAAGCGUUAUCCGGAAUCAUUGGGUUUAAAGGGUCCGUAGGCGGUCUUAUAAGUCAGUGGUGAAAUCUCCCCGCUCAACGGGGAAACGGCCAUUGAUACUGUAAGACUUGAAUUAUUAGGAAGUAACUAGAAUAUGUAGUGUAGCGGUGAAAUGCUUAGAGAUUACAUGGAAUACCAAUUGCGAANGCAGGUUACUACUAAUGGAUUGACGCUGAUGGACGAAAGCGUGGGUAGCGAACAGGAUUAGAUACCCUGGUAGUCCACGCCGUAAACGAUGGAUACUAGCUGUUGGGAGCAAUCUCAGUGGCUAAGCGAAAGUGAUAAGUAUCCCACCUGGGGAGUACGUUCGCAAGAAUGAAACUCAAAGGAAUUGACGGGGGCCCGCACAAGCGGUGGAGCAUGUGGUUUAAUUCGAUGAUACGCGAGGAACCUUACCAAGGC